rnacentral:misc_RNA from 1 species
GAUGAAGAACGGUAGCGAAAUGCGAUACUUGGUGUGAAUUGCAGAAUCCCGUGAACCAUCGAGUCUUUGAACGCAAGUUGCGCCCGAAGCCAUUAGGCCGAGGGCACGCCUGCCUGGGUGUCACACGUCGUUGCCCCCCCAUCUACUCCUUCGGGAUUGCGGGGGGCGGAUGAUGGCCUCCCGUGCGCCUCGUCGCGCGGUUGGCAUAAAUGCCAAGUCCUCGGCGACGCACGCCACGACAAUCGGUGGUUGCGAAACCUCGGUUGCCCGUCGUGUGCGGUCGUCGCGCAUCGAGGGCUCGAAAAAAUUGCCGGGCUCCGGCUCGGCUUUCAACGCGACCCCAGGUCAGGCGGGGUUACCCGCUGAAUUUAAGCAUAUCAAUAAGCGGAGGA